rnacentral:rRNA from 1 species
GACGAACCGUGCGAACGUUGUUCGGAAUCACUGGGCUUAAAGGGCGCGUAGGCGGGCCCCUCAGUCCGCGGUGAAAUCCCCCGGCUCAACCGGGGAACGGCCGCGGAUACUGGGGGCCUCGAGCGGGGUAGGGGCGUGCGGAACACUGGGUGGAGCGGUGAAAUGCGUUGAUAUCCAGUGGAACUCCGGUGGCGAAAGCGGCGCGCUGGACCCCUCCUGACGCUGAGGCGCGAAAGCCAGGGGAGCGAACGGG